AUAAACGCUGGCGGCGCACAUAAGACAUGCAAGUUGAACGGACUUAAUCGAAAUAUUUAUAUUUUGAAGCGGUUAGUGGCGGACUGGUGAGUAACGCGUAAGGAACCUGCCUAUUAGAGGGGAAUCACAGUGAGAAAUCAUUGCUAAUACCGCAUAUGCCAUAGAUAUCACAUGAUAACAGUGGGAAAGGAGCAAUCCGCUAAUAGAUGGCCUUGCGUCUGAUUAGAUAGUUGGUGGGGUAACGGCCUACCAAGUCGACGAUCAGUAGCCGGACUGAGAGGUUGAACGGCCACAUUGGGACUGAGAUACGGCCCAGACUCCUACGGGAGGCAGCAGUCGGGAAUAUUGCGCAAUGGAGGAAACUCUGACGCAGUGACGCCGCGUAUAGGAAGAAGGUUUUCGGAUUGUAAACUAUUGUCGUUAGGGAAGAGAAAGGACAGUACCUAAGGAGGAAGCUCCGGCUAACUACGUG
rnacentral:rRNA from 1 species